rnacentral:lncRNA from 1 species
UAGAGCUCGGCCUGGCGGGGACCCUGGGCCAGCCUCGCGCCUCCGUGGCCCGGGCACCUCGUGCGUGUCCGCGAGCUCGCGUGCGCGCGUCACCUCGGACCGCAGCAUGGCUUGGAGGGCGGCCCUACUCGCGCCGCCCUAGUGCUGCGAAGGGCCUCGGAGCCCAAACCCGGAACCGCCAUCUGGGACUGGGAAGACGACAUGGCCAGAAGUCGGCGGGAGUGCAGUGACACGAUCGGGACCCACUGUAGCCUCAAACUCCUGCCCUUAAGCAAUCCAAGUGCUUCAGCCUCCCGAGUAGCUGAGACUGCAGGUGAGGACCGCCAUGUCUAGCUUUUUGUUUUUUUAAAACAUAUGGGGUGUCUCUGUGUUGCCCAGCCAGCUCUGGAACUCCUGGCUUCAAUUGACCCUCUGCCUCAGCCUCCCAAAGUGUUGGGAUUGCAGAUGUGAGCCACUGUGCCCAACCUGUUUUUCUUGGUGUUUUAUAUAAAUGGAAUUGUAUCGCACGUAAUCUUUAGGGAAGUGGGGGCUGUUCAUUGAGCAUAAUUAUGUUGGAAUUCGUCUAUAUAUUGAUAAAUAUUUUAAGUGCUUUUUAUUGCUCAGCGGUGUCUAGGAGUCAUUCUUGCUUACCCUUUCCCACUGCAGCCUUCACUCAAUCUCAUCAAAGAUCUAGCUCCAAUAUAUAAACCAAAUCCAAGCCAUUCCUACGUAUAUUACCCCUGAGCCAUGCUCUCUCACGUAGAUUACAGAUACAGCCUAGUACCUGGUCAUCCUCCAAUCAGUUUUGUCUACAGCCAUGCGAGUCUUCUUUCUAUGCCUUAAAUAAGACAAAUGUAUUCCAGCUCUUUUGAAUAUUUCCAAUUAUGAAAUGUUCCUCUUUAUUUCUAAUAAUGCUUGCUAUUGUCAACUUUGUCAUAUGUAAAUAACACCACCAGCUUUCUUUCCUGUGUGUACCUUUAGAGUUAAGUGAGUUUAAGAAGUGUGUGUGUGGCCGGGCGCGGUGGCUCACGCCUGUAAUCCCAGCACUUUGUGAGGCCGA